rnacentral:rRNA from 1 species
UACGGAGGGAGCUAGCGUUGUUCGGAAUUACUGGGCGUAAAGCGCACGUAGGCGGCUUUGUAAGUUAGAGGUGAAAGCCCGGGGCUCAACCCCGGAAAUUGCCUUUAAGACUGCAUCGCUUGAAUCCGGGAGAGGUGAGUGGAAUUCCGAGUGUAGAGGUGAAAUUCGUAGAUAUUCGGAAGAACACCAGUGGCGAAGGCGGCUCACUGGACCGGUAUUGACGCUGAGGUGCGAAAGCGUGGGGGAGCAA